rnacentral:tRNA from 1 species
GGAGGGUAUAGCUCAGUGGUAGAGUAUGUGCUUAGCAUGCACAAGGUCCUGGGUUCAAUCCCCAGUACCUCCA